AAUGUAAUCUACUGUUUUAGAUCUAGAACUUUCUUUCUUCCCCAAUUCAUCAACGGGACACACCUCUAUUUAAACUUGAGGCCUCUCAUGUGCCCGUGGUGGUUUUUCAACGCGAGAGGAUGUGCCUGUGACAAACCCGCCUGCCUACGAUAUAACGGCUUCAACGACUUUCCCAAAGGAGAAAGCAGCAAAUCCAACUAUCUCAAAGCUCCCCUUUCCCUUUCCAUCUAAUCACUGAUUCUCAUCACUCGGAUACUCCUGAAAUUGUCACCCAAAUUGAAAAAAAAAAAAGAGAAUUAGUGGGUUCAGUCAGUUGUUCCUGUUCUAAACAAUCCCACCAAAAUCGACUUUGAAUCUUACAGAACACCUAACUGGGUGGGCAGAAUCAGAACAAUUUGGCAAUAUACAUCAACAUCGAUCCUCUAGCUUGUUGUAAUAUUGUAGGCAUGAAUUACUUGUACCCAGUGAAGGAAGAGUACCCGGGCGGGUCGGGUUCGUCGCAGUGGAGCGGGGAUCCUCCGAUGAUGGUGGCUCCACCGCAGCCGAUGGAGGGGCUGAAUGACACCGGGCCUCCUCCUUUUCUGAACAAGACUUAUGACAUGGUGGAUGACCCGAGUACUAAUCGGAUAGUCUCGUGGAGCAGAGGAGGGAGCAGCUUUGUGGUUUGGGACCCUCAUUCGUUUGUGAUGAACCUCCUGCCUAGAUACUUCAAGCACAAUAAUUUCUCCAGCUUUGUCAGGCAGCUUAACACUUACGGCUUUAGAAAGGUUGAUCCGGAUAGGUGGGAGUUUGCCAAUGAAGGAUUUUUACGGGGUCAGAAGCAUCUCCUAAAGAACAUUAGGAGAAGGAAGACACCUUCUCAGCCUAUUCCAGCACACCAAGCCCUAGGCCCUUGUGUGGAAGUAGGCCGGUUUGGGCUAGAUGGAGAAAUUGAUCGUUUGCGACGUGACAAGCAGGUUCUCAUGAUGGAGUUGGUGAAGCUUAGACAGCAGCAGCAGAGUACUAGAGCUUGCCUUCAAGCCAUGGAACAAAGGCUAAAAGGGACAGAAAUGAAGCAGCAACAAAUGAUGGCUUUCUUGGCCAGGGCACUGCAGAACCCGGCUUUCCUGCAGCAGCUAGUCCAACAUAAGGAGAAACGGAAGGAGCUUGAAGAAGCCGUGACUAAGAAAAGGAGAAGGCCGAUUGAUCAAGGCCCUAGUGGCUUUGGUGGUGGUGAAACUAACCAAAGGGGCAAAGGAAUUAACCCUGUUAAAGCUGAGCCUCUUGAAUUUGGAGAUGGCGAGUACGAAAUGUCGGAGCUAGAAGCGCUUGCAAUGGAAAUGCAAGGAUUUCAUAAGGCAAGAAAGGAACCAGAGGAAGAGUCAGAGCCCCUGGAAAUUGGGGAUAAAGAGCUUGAUGAAGGAUUUUGGGAUGAACUAUUUAGCGAGAGGUUUGAGGGGGACUUAAGCAUACCAUGUGCUGAAAUAGGUGAUGACGAAGAUGUCAUUAUCUUGGCUGAUCGCUUAGGUUACUUAGGUUCAAGCCCAAAUUAGAACAGCUAAACUUCUUCUGCAUUGCUAUCUCUCCUCUUCAGUACACUGCCCCAGUGACCAUUUCUUUCGGGUAGGAGGCUAUGGCCUUCAGUAGUUGUUUCAUCGUUUUUCAUUCCCUCUCUCCCUCUCGUCCUCUCUCUUUCUCUUUCUCUUUCUCCUUCUCUUUCUCUUUCUCUCUCUCUCUCUCUCUCUCUCUCUCUCUCUCUCUCUCUUUCACUUUGCAUCGCUAGAGUCUCUUCAAGUCUGUGCCAUUUGGCCAUAACUGUCAUCUGGAAUUGUUUCUUGGUAAUAUUGACAGGAUAGGGGGAUUAGCACAAGCUGUUUAUCUGGGGAAACCAACUUUGUUUCUGGUGUUUCUAACCCUGCAUUUAAUUGCUUAUUGUCUCCUUUUCGCAUCUAAUAAUGCCCUUUUCUUCUCUCUUUAUCUUGGUUAGGUUGCAGGCAUUGCUUGGACAGAAUCUGUGCUAGUUUUUAUCAUGAUUUAUCUCCUCAAGAUUGUUGAUUAUUCAGAAGCUGUUGAACUUGAAAAGGAGUAGCUGCAAGCUCCAAGGACCAUAAACAUAAUAUUGUUUAUGGAUGGAUCCAAGUGAUCAUUGGUAGCUAAUUUUAUUUUUCUGUUACUGCAUUGCCUACUAUCUUUAGUAAGAUAUAAAGAGGUGUUACAUUUGUACCAUGUAGAUCUUUUCGUGCGAAACUUGGUUCUCUCUGUCACUACAUCA